rnacentral:rRNA from 1 species
UACGAAGGGGGCUAGCGUUGUUCGGAUUUACUGGGCGUAAAGGGCGCGUAGGCGGCAAAUUAAGUCAGCUGUGAAAUCUCCGAGCUUAACUCGGAACGGUCAGCUGAUACUGAUCUGCUAGAGUGCGGAAGGGGCAAUCGGAAUUCUUGGUGUAGCGGUGAAAUGCGUAGAUAUCAAGAGGAACACCUGAGGUGAAGACGGGUUGCUGGGCCGACACUGACGCUGAGUGCGCGAAAGCCAGGGGAGCAAACGGG